rfam:Tick-borne encephalitis virus gene, complete cds, strain:Oshima 5-10
GGAGUGCCCCACGGCAGCACGUCAGUGAGAGUGGCGACGGGGAAAUGGUCGAUCCCGACGUAGGGCACUCUGUCAAACUUUGUGAGACCCC